ensembl:snRNA U6 U6 spliceosomal RNA
GUGCUCGCUUCGGCAACACAUAUACUAAAAUUGGAACGAUACAGAGAAGAUUAGCAUGGCCCCUAAGUAGGAAGUCAAGAAACACCUGGAGUAACAGGAAAAUUUG